rnacentral:rRNA from 1 species
GACGAACGCUGGCGGCGUGCCUAAUACAUGCAAGUCGAGCGGACGAAUCGAAAGCUUGCUUUUGAUUCGUUAGCGGCGGACGGGUGAGUAACACGUGGGCAACCUGCCCUGUAGACGGGGAUAACACCGAGAAAUCGGUGCUAAUACCGGAUAACACGAAAUGUCGCAUGACGUUUCGUUGAAAGACGGCGCAAGCUGUCGCUACAGGAUGGGCCCGCGGCGCAAUAGCUAGUUGGUGAGGUAACGGCUCACCAAGGCGACGAUGCGUAGCCGACCUGAGAGGGUGAUCGGCCACACUGGGACUGAGACACGGCCCAGACUCCUACGGGAGGCAGCAGUAAGGAAUCUUCCGCAAUGGACGAAAGUCUGACGGAGCAACGCCGCGUGAGCGAAGAAGGCCUUCGGGUCGUAAAGCUCUGUUGUUAGGGAAGAACAAGUAACGCAGUAACUGGCGUUACCGUGACGGUACCUAACGAGAAAGCCACGGCUAACUACGUG